rnacentral:rRNA from 1 species
UAGGGAAUAUUGCAAAAUGGGCGAAAGCCCGAUGCAGCAACGCCGCGUGGGCGAUGAAGGCCUUCGGGUCGUAAAGCCCUUUUUGAGGGGAUGAGGAAGGACAGUACCCUCAGAAUAAGCCUCGGCUAACUACGUGCCAGCAGCCGCGGUAAAACGUAGGAGGCGAGCGUUAUCCGGAUCUACUGGGCGUAAAGCGCGUGCAGGCGGAUUGGAGAGUUGGAUGUGAAAGCUCCCGGCUUAACUGGGAGAGGUCGUUCAAUACUUCCAGUCUUGAGUGCAGUAGAGGGAAGUGGAAUUCCGGGUGUAGUGGUGAAAUGCGUAGAUAUCCGGAGGAACACCAGUGGCGAAAGCGGCUUCCUGGACUGUAACUGACGCUCAGACGCGAAAGCUAGGGUAGCAAAC